AGCUCCAAUAGCGUAUAUUAAAGUUGUUGCAGUUAAAAAGCUCGUAGUUGGAUCUCGGGGUGAUGUGGAUCUGGUCCGCCUAGAUGGUGUGUACUGGUUCACGCGCUCUUUCCUACUGGAUACCUGCCGCUGUUCUUAAGUGAGUGGUGGUCAGUGGCCCUCGCGGGUCCGGGUUCCAGUUCUUUUACUUUGAAAAAAUUAGAGUGUUCAAAGCAGGCAAUCGCUUGAAUACAUUAGCAUGGGAUAAUGGAAUAGGACUUUGGUUCUAUUUUGUUGGUUUCUAGGACCGAAGUAAUGAUUAAUAGGGACAGUUGGGGGCAUUAGUAUUUCAUUGUCAGAGGUGAAAUUCUUGGAUUUAUGAAAGACUAACUUCUGCGAAAGCAUUUGUCAAGGAUGUUUU
rnacentral:rRNA from 1 species